rnacentral:lncRNA from 1 species
GCUAACAAGUGGAGACAGAAGAAAUGGAUUGUGUGCAUAUCUUGUUUAUCAAGCCACCAAGUGUUUCCUGAGGACCCAGAGUUACCGGCUCUGCGCUGCCUCCGUCCUUGCCCUCCUCCUGUUUGUUUGCAGUGAUUUGUAAUCAUUUCCCUGCCCCCCUGGUAGAUUAUGAAGGCAGGCCUCACACUGUGUUUAUUUCUUCAUUGAAACCUGCUAUGUACUUUAAAGGAGACCAGAGGUAGAUGAAACAAAAUUCUUCUGUCAAGGGCUUGCUGGGAGGAGAAUGACAGAGGAAACCAGUGGAAAGUAGCAGAGGCAGAAUAGGAUAGGGUGCUCGCUAGUAAGGGGUAGCCUCAAAGUGCCAUAGAUGUUGCGAAAAGGAGGGCUCAGUGGGGCCAGGGGUUUGAAAGGUGCACUCACUCAGGCCGACUGGGGAUGGAGGGUGGCAGGGUUGUGGAUAACAUGACUUUACAGAGAGAGAAGCUCAGUACAGACACGGCCGCUAUGCUCACACGAAGUGUAAGUUUAGAUGCACUUGUGAUAGUGAAAGGGGACCCAUGGGCCAGGGCAGAAGUAAAAAGAUGUGAGAUUAGAACUCUCCAAAGCUAGGUGAGCAGCCGUCUGAAUAAAGCACACGCACCUACAGGCUGAGGUGAGCGACGGGCGAGGCAGUGCAGAGCCUGGCAAAGCUUAGGUUCCCGCAGGCCCCGCGGCUGAGCAGGGGAGCAAACUGGGGAGGGCACCGUGUGCUUUGCCCUAACCCUCUGGGCUGGGCUGGCUGCCUUGAGAGGCACAUGCCGUGCCCUGAGGAACUGCGUGCUUUCAGAGUGACCGCUGGCAGCUGGCCGCUCGGUUGCACCACUCGAGAUGCAACCCGAGGCCCCGGAAUCCCUGUGCUUGGGGCCUCGGACAUGCCAAACAAGCCAGACACACAGCGAGUGUCAUUCCUCAGCCUUCACACUCCUCAAAGCGGGAAGCAGCUUCUCCAAACUAAGCACCUCUCAAUGGGUGCCCAGGGAGUUCAAGCUCCUGCCCAGGCGUGCCGCUCUGUUUACUGCGCCCCACGCCCAAAAAUGAGGACUUUAAAUCAGGAAAAUGGCCCCAGCAACCGGCUUCCUCAGGAAGCGCAGCCUCUGGAGCAGGAACCCGCAGCUUAAGGAGAGAUCCGCAGCCCUGGGAGCUUCCUUUCCCGUAAGGUGAUUGCCCACGGAGGCAGAGAGACCUGUAGAACGUUUCAGCUCUCAUGGCCUCUUUGGGGAAGGAGAGCCGGUGCCCUCAGCUGACAAUUUUGAAAUGCUAAUUGGGUACAUAUAGGCCUGGUCAAGAGCACCCCCGCCAAAGGCCGGUCUGCCUCUGCAUGUUCCCUGGUCGUGAUGGCUGGAGUGUCUUCCCCGGAGACGGCUCCCCUCAGGUUGGCGUUCAUUCUCCACUGUGUUGAAGAUGAUGUUUCUCAUUAGGAAUGAAUUAUAGACACACGUGUAGACUUCAUGUAGCAGGUAGGAUCCUGCAAGGAGAUCGUAGAUAAGCUGAAUAGUUAUAUAUUGAAUGAUUUUACAUCCAUGGAGAACUCAUGAGCUCAACCAGUGGCAUAUAAAUAUAAACUAUAUAUAAAGAUAAACUACAUCUCUAUAUAAACUAUAUAAAAUAACUGUAUAAUUUAUUUUCUAUAACAUAUAAUUAAUCAAUAUAUUUAAAUAAAU